GGGGCUAUAGCUCAGAUGGUAGAGCAUCUGCUUUGCACGCAGAGGGUCAGCGGUUCGAUCCCGCUUGGCUCCA
rnacentral:tRNA from 1 species